UCCCGCAGCAUGCAUGGAAGGCAAUGGCGACGAUGAUGAUGGAGACUAUGACGUUGCUCCAGCAGCUUCUCUCGAGGGCGAUGAUGAUGACGAUGGCAGCUAUGAUUAUGCUCCAGCUGCAUGAUUGGAGUGAGGUUUAUGAGUGCCCCUUACCGUGGGGUUUCUAACCCAAAACUUUUUGCAAUUCUACUAUGGAGUGAGGUUUAUGAGUGCACCCCCCCCCCCGGUGCGGCUUUAAAGCACCUUGUGAUUUUGGGUUUGUAAGGAUUAUUUUAAUUAAAUGAUAUUCAAGGAAAACAUGGGAUCGUAUUCUAUGUCAGCUAUCGUUAUUAUUUUAGCAAUCUGUGACAAACGUGGAAGCAAUUAAAUAAUUUAUUGCAGUUUUGUACUUUAGCAUAAUCCAUUGUUUUAAAAGAAUGUUUUCUUAUCUGUUGGUGUUA
rnacentral:lncRNA from 1 species